CCCGGGUUAGCUCAGUUGGUAGAGCGCUCCACUGGAAAGGGGGAGCUUCCGGGUUAGAUACCCGAACCAGGCG
rfam:Ixodes scapularis strain Wikel colony gcontig_1108379644336, whole genome shotgun sequence.